rnacentral:rRNA from 1 species
GCUUGUCUCAAAGAUUAAGCCAUGCAUGUCUAAGUAUAAACUAUUUUAUACUGUGAAACUGCGAAUGGCUCAUUAAAUCAGUUAUAGUUUAUUUGAUGGUACCUUACUACUCGGAUAACCGUAGUAAUUCUAGAGCUAAUACAUGCGUAAAAUCCCGACUCUCGCGGGGAGGGAUGUAUUUAUUAGAUAAAAAACCAAUGCGGGGCAACCCGGUUUUGUGGUGAAUCAUAGUAACUUUUCGGAUCGCAUAGCUUCACGCUGGCGAUAGUUCAUUCAAAUUUCUGCCCUAUCAGCUUUCGACGGUAGUGUAGUGGACUACCGUGGCGUUAACGGGUGACGGAGAAUUAGGGUUCGAUUCCGGAGAGGGAGCCUGAGAAACGGCUACCACAUCCAAGGAAGGCAGCAGG